rnacentral:rRNA from 1 species
GACGGAGGGUGCUAGCGUUGUUCGGAAUCACUGGGCGUAAAGGGCGCGUAGGCGGCCUUGCAAGUCGGUUGGUGAAAGCCCGGGGCUCAACCCCGGAGGUGCGGCCGAGACUGCAGGGCUGGAGGCCGGAAGAGGAGGGUGGAAUACCCAGUGUAGAGGUGAAAUUCGUAGAUAUUCGCAAGAACACCAGUGGCGAAGGCGGCUCACUGGCCCGGUACUGACGCUGAGGCACGAAAGCGUGGGGAGCAAACAGG